UGGACAGAUUAUUGUAUUCGACUGUAUUCACGGUGUGAAAUAGGGGAUUACACUGUUUUUAAAACGAAAAGUGAAUCAACAUAAUAGACUCCU
rfam:Nicotiana attenuata strain TT chromosome 7, whole genome shotgun sequence.